rnacentral:rRNA from 1 species
UACGUAGGUGGCAAGCGUUGUCCGGAAUUAUUGGGCGUAAAGGAUGCGUAGGCGGCCUUUUAAGUGGGAUGUGAAAUACCCGGGCUUAACCCGGGAAUGGCAUUCCAAACUGGAAGGCUAGAGUGCAGGAGAGGAAAGUGGAAUUCCCAGUGUAGCGGUGAAAUGCGUAGAGAUUGGGAGGAACACCAGUGGCGAAGGCGACUUUCUGGACUGUAACUGACGCUGAGGCAUGAAAAGCGUGGGGGAGCAAACAGGG